UACGUAGGGUGCAAGCGUUAAUCGGAAUUACUGGGCGUAAAGCGUGCGCAGGCGGCUUUGCAAGACAGAUGUGAAAUCCCCGGGCUUAACCCUGGGAACUGCAUUUGUGACUGCAUGGCUGGAGUGCGGCAGAGGGGGAUGGAAUUCCGCGUGUAGCAGUGAAAUGCGUAGAUAUGCGGAGGAACACCGAUGGCGAAGGCAAUCCCCUGGGCCUGCACUGACGCUCAUGCACGAAAGCGUGG
rnacentral:rRNA from 1 species